GAGGGUAUAUCUCAGUGGUGGAGUGAAUGCUUAGCGUGCCUGAGGUCCUGGGUUCAAUUCCCAGGACCUCCA
rfam:Camelus ferus unplaced genomic scaffold scaffold15160, whole genome shotgun sequence.